rnacentral:rRNA from 1 species
GCCUACGGGGGGCAGCAGUAGGGAAUUUUCGUCAAUGGGCGCAAGCCUGAACGAGCAAUGCCGCGUGAACGAGGAAGGUCUUCGGAUCGUAAAGUUCUGUUGAAGGGGAAAAAGAGCGGAGAGAGGAAAUGGUCUCCGAUUGAUAUUACCCUUCGAGGACGUCACGGCUAACUACGUGCCAGCAGCCGCGGUAAUACGUAGGUGGCGAGCGUUAUCCGGAAUGAUUGGGCGUAACGGGAGCGUAGGCGGCCUGCUAAGUCUGGUGUGAAAGUUACCGGCUCAACCGGAACAGGC